rnacentral:tRNA from 1 species
CAGUAUUUAGUUUAAAUAAAAUUUUAAUUUUGGAUAUUAAAGAUAUAAUAAAUUAUAUUACUGA